UCUACAAACGAAACAGGGAACACAGGGCACUUUUAGUUUCAGUUCAAAAUCUUUGCUCGUGUCACGAUUUCACGAAAACUGUAUCAUUCUUACAUCGGUGCAAUUUGUAUAUGCAAUAAAUCCCACAAAACACCAUUCUUAAUAAGUGUCCCGCAUGCUUUUCAGGGUCAAUCAGUGAUGCAGGACUCGUGUGUUUCAGUGUAGAUGUUGUGGGGUAUUUCAAGUGAAGAAAUAUUGCCACGUGAGAAGUGAAAGAGAGGUCGGUUCGUGAUAAGAACAGGUGAAGCUAGUUACGCAUUUUACAUUCGUUUUGUUCGAACACAGCUUGAGAGACACAGACACUGAGAUACUGAGUGAAUUCGGCACUAAAAAAGAUCAAUGGCGAAAACAUCAAUUAAUAUACAGCAAGCGGACAUGAGUCAAGAGCUGCAGCGGGAGGCUCUUCAGUGCGCUCUUCUGGCUGUGAACAUGUACGAAAGCCACUCGGACAUCGCUACGUACAUCGCAAAGGAAUUCGACAGAAGGGUCCAGCCCAAAUGGCACUGCAUUGUGGGAAACUGUGGUUACUUUGUGAGACACAAGGAUAACUGUUAUAUUUGCUUUGAAGUUGGAAAUAAACGAAUAACGCUUUUCAGGACUGACUGAUCAACAGUUCAAACAUUUGGUUAAGGAAUUUCAGGUCUGCUGUUUUAGUUGCGGUGGCACUUUAUGUUUUAAUUUGCAUAUGAAUAAACAUUUUAAUUACCAUAAUUCGAGUUUUUUGGAAUGGCAUGGUUAUAAACGACUGAUAUGUUCCGGACCUUUGUGAGAUCCCGUCACUUACCAGGUUUUGAUGUAAGAGUAAAAAUAUCUGGUUUUACUUGUUCUGGAAAUCGUACAAGUAUUUUUAUUUUCAGAUCGUCGCACAGAAAAUGAGAUGCUGAUUUCGCAUGACGAGUGUAAAACGGCAAUAAAUCGUGCCACAAUGCAAUAAAAAAAAAGAUGUUCUUAAUAAAUGCCCCUCAUGCUUUUAUUUGAAUGUCUAUAUGUUUAGACACAGCCGAUGGUGCAGAAAGGCAUUAAACGUUCAGGAAUGUUGUCCAGUGAGGUUAUGUCGUAUUGAGAGGUGGAGGUAGAUUGUGAUGUAGAUGAGAACAGGUGGAGUGAGUUAGUUUUAAUCAAACACAAAGAAACUGUGAGAGAAUCAACAUAUAAUUGCUCUGUACAGAGAUCGGCACAUAAAUACGAUUCAUGGCGAAAAUGUUAAUUAAUGUACGAAAAUCAGACAUGAGUGAUGAGCUGCAGCGGGAGGUUCUUCAAUGCGCUCUUCUGGCUGUGAACAUGCACGACAAAAACACAGACAUAGCUAACUACAUCAAGAAGGAAUUCGACAGAAAGUACCAGCCCAACUGGCAAUGCAUUGUGGGAAAGAGCAGUUGCUCUGUGUCACACAAUCGUAACUCUUAUAUCUGUUUUGAUGUUGGUGAUAGACAAAUAAUACUAUUUAAGACUAACUGAGCAACAGUUUAAACACAUUUCAUUAAGGUGUUGGAGUGCAGUGUAAUAAAAUUUGGGUCUACUAUUUUAGUUGCGGUGGCAUUUUGUUUUCAUUUGUAUAUGAAUAAACAUUUUAAUGACCUUUACUUACUGUUUUUUCUUUUUAAUAAAUCCCAUGGUAACUGUACCGAAAUAUCAUAUUUGAUAAUUUCAUAAUGCUAAUUUCUAAAAUUGAUUUAUGUUUUGAUCAGCAAAUGAGCAUUUAAAAAUAAUCUAACUAAGGCAUAUUUAUAAACGACUGGUAUUUAUGUCAUUCAUGUUUGUAGCUAUAAAGGUCUUAUUGGUUUACAUUAAACGCUAUCAGAAUUA